AUGUUGUUGAAGUGAUGUCAUGUCUCUUCUCUGGCAAACCAAUGGAGAGAGCUUAAACAUCUCUGAUCUCAGCAU
rnacentral:snoRNA from 1 species